rnacentral:rRNA from 1 species
GACGAACGCUGGCGGCGUGCUUAACACAUGCAAGUCGAACGGAAAGGCCCUGCUUUUGUGGGGUGCUCGAGUGGCGAACGGGUGAGUAACACGUGAGUAACCUGCCCUUGACUUUGGGAUAACUUCAGGAAACUGGGGCUAAUACCGGAUAGGAGCUCCUGCUGCAUGGUGGGGUUGGAAAGUUUCGGCGGUUGGGGAUGGACUCGCGGCUUAUCAGCUUGUUGGUGGGGUAGUGGCUUACCAAGGCUUUGACGGGUAGCCGGCCUGAGAGGGUGACCGGCCACAUUGGGACUGAGAUACGGCCCAGACCCCUACGGGAGGCAGCAGUGGGGAAUAUUGCACAAUGGGCGGAAGCCUGAUGCAGCAACGCCGCGUGCGGGAUGACGGCCUUCGGGUUGUAAACCGCUUUCGCCUGUGACGAAGCGUGAGUGACGGUAAUGGGUAAAGAAGCACCGGCUAACUACGUG